CCGACGGUACAGGGUGAUAGUCCCGUACACCAAAAUGCACAGGUUGUGAACUCGAAGAGUAGGGCGGGACACGUGGUAUCCUGUCUGAAUAUGGGGGGACCAUCCUCCAAGGCUAAAUACUCCUGACUGACCGAUAGUGAACCAGUACCGUGAGGGAAAGGCGAAAAGAACCCCGGCGAGGGGAGUGAAAAAGAACCUGAAACCGUGUACGUACAAGCAGUGGGAGCACCUUCGGGUGUGACUGCGUACCUUUUGUAUAAUGGGUCAGCGACUUAUAUUCUGUAGCAAGGUUAACCGUAUAGGGGAGCCGCAGGGAAACCGAGUCUUAACUGGGCGUUAAGUUGCAGGGUAUAGACCCGAAACCCGGUGAUCUAGCCAUGGGCAGGUUGAAGGUUGGGUAACACUAACUGGAGGACCGAACCGACUAAUGUUGAAAAAUUAGCGGAUGACUUGUGGCUGGGGGUGAAAGGCCAAUCAAACCGGGAGAUAGCUGGUUCUCCCCGAAAGCU
rnacentral:rRNA from 1 species